AAGCCACAUGCAGGCAGCAGAAACUAUACUCCAAAUUUGGGUCUUUUGCCAGGUCAUUCACAUGUGACACCGUCUUCUUUCUCAAGUGCAGCCCCUGUGACCAUGACAGGAAAUGACGGACAACGUGAUGUGUAUCUGUGGCUGGAGACCAGGUGCUGUGUCCGUGUCUCAGAGGAAUCUUCCAGGAUGCUGGCCAGUGGGAAGGUGACAGGGACACCAGGACCUGGUUUCGGUUAAAGAAUGAAGACACCCCAAGGUGGUGGUGCACACCUGCAAUCCUGGCACUCUGGGAGGGCGAGGCAGGAGGAUCAUAACUUUGAGCCCAGCCCAAGUAACUUAGCAUCUUAGUGAGACCUUGUCUCAAAAUAAGAAAUUCAGAGGACUGAGAUGUAGCCC
rnacentral:lncRNA from 1 species